rnacentral:lncRNA from 1 species
CGUGAAUACCUUUCCUCUAGUUGGUCCAAAGAUGCUAAAGAUCUCUUGGCCUCGAGGGAAGUCUGAUGUUCUCUUUAAGAGAACCACAAAGGCUUCGUGCGAACGGACAUCUGAGAAGCAGGUGGUUUACUAAUUCUAAUCUUCCACCACAUAGUGCACAUCUUGUGCUUACGUGCCAGCACUUCCUCCCCAAUAUUUCCCGAGUGUGUAGUCUAUUUCUCGGUGCUAACCAAAGAAAGAUCUU